rnacentral:rRNA from 1 species
UGCUGGAGGUAUCAGAAGUGCGAAUGCUGACAUAAGUAACGAUAAAGCGGGUGAAAAGCCCGCUCGCCGGAAGACCAAGGGUUCCUGUCCAACGUUAAUCGGGGCAGGGUGAGUCGACCCCUAAGGCGAGGCCGAAAGGCGUAGUCGAUGGGAAACGGGUUAAUAUUCCCGUACUUGGUGUUACUGCGAAGGGGGGACGGAGAAGGCUAUGUUGGCCGGGCGACGGUUGUCCCGGUUUAAGCGUGUAGGUGUGUGUUCCAGGUAAAUCCGGUUCACUUUAACACUGAGGCGUGAUGACGAGGCACUACGGUGCUGAAGCAACAAAUGCCCUGCUUCCAGGAAAAGCCUCUAAGCAUCAGGUAACAUCAAAUCGUACCCCAAACCGACACAGGUGGUCAGGUAGAGAAUACCAAGGCGCUUGAGAGAACUCGGGUGAAGGAACUAGGCAAAAUGGUGCCGUAACUUCGGGAGAAGGCACGCUGACACGUAGGUGAAGUGAUUUACUCAUGGAGCUGAAGUCAGUCGAAGAUACCAGCUGGCUGCAACUGUUUAUUAAAAACACAGCACUGUGCAAACACGAAAGUGGACGUAUACGGUGUGACGCCUGCCCGGUGCCGGAAGGUUAAUUGAUGGGGU